rnacentral:lncRNA from 1 species
CAAAUCUCUAACAAAAGUCAGACUAUGCCAACUGUCCCCAUCAACUAAAAAAGCAAAAGAGAAAAGAAAUGAAUACACUGACCAGAGGAUGUCAGAACCUCACAGGCAACUUGCUCCCUAAUGUGGGACUAUCUGCUCCUCGCCGGCCUGCUAUUGUGUGUCACUUAACAAGCGUCCAGGCUUGUCACCAUGCCUCACAUUGACAUCUGUCAGCACCCUCAGUCCCUUACAUCAUUCAUAACCAACAGACGUCCUUGUGGUUUCACACUGACCCAGCCCAAUUCUUAGUAAAACCGCUUCCAGUUGACACUGGUGCUGAAUGGUAAGAAGUCAGAACAGAACACAAACAAACCAACAUCAAGGUGUAAUUGAUGCUCUCACUAGCUGAUGAGGAGAAAAAUCUUGAUAUAGCAUUCUCAUUGUAGGAUUUCCAAAACUCUGUUGAAAAUAGUCAUGAUUUCUUCCUGGAAAGGAAUAG